UACGAAGGGGGCGAGCGUUAUUCGGAAUCACUGGGCGUAAAGCGUGCGUAGGCGGUUCUAAAAGUUAGAAGUGAAAGCCCAGGGCUCAACCCUGGAAUUGCUUUUAAAACUAUAGGACUAGAAUUCGGGAGAGGAUAGCGGAAUUGUCAGUGUAGCAGUGAAAUGCGUAGAUAUUGACAGGAACACCAGUGGCGUAAGCGGCUAUCUGGACCGACAUUGACGCUGAGGCACGAAAGCGUGGGGAUCAAAC
rnacentral:rRNA from 1 species